ensembl:snRNA U6 U6 spliceosomal RNA
GUGCUCACUUCAGCAGGACUUACACUAAACUUGCAAUGAUACUGAGAAGAUUAACAUGGCUCCUGUGCAAGGAUCACACGCACACACAAAUCACAAUAUCUGAAUUUUU